rnacentral:rRNA from 1 species
UACGUAGGGUGCAAGCGUUGUCCGGAAUUAUUGGGCGUAAAGAGCUCGUAGGCGGUCUGUCACGUCGGCUGUGAAAUCCCGAGGCUCAACCUCGGGUCUGCAGUCGAUACGGGCAAACUAGAGUAUUGCAGGGGAGACUGGAAUUCCUGGUGUAGCGGUGAAAUGCGCAGAUAUCAGGAGGAACACCAGCAGCGAAGGCGGUGGUCUGGGCCGACAUUGACGCUGAGGAGCGAAAGCGUGGGGAGCGAACAGG